UGUCGGGGUGGGGGAAGGGCGAGGCGGCGGCGGACGCGGCCCUUGCGGGGGCUCCUCGGCUGCCUCCAACCUCGCCCCGCGCCAGCGCGACCUCGCUAUCCCGCAGUUAUGUGUCCAGUGUCCCCUGUAUUCUGGGAUUUUCUUCUUUGUAGUCCCACUGCUACCCCAGGGCCCAGCACCCAGCUGCAGCCCGAAAUACUUGUUGACUUAAUGAAACAAGGCGAUCACAAAGGAAGGGAAAAUGGAACAAGGAAUGAAAUUUAGUGAAAUCUCAGAUGCCCAAGAUCACUAAGGCUAUGUAACAUUGCUUUAGAAUUCUGGCAUCCAUAUUGAAAGGCAGGGGAUUGGUGGAUUCUUCUAGGAAGGAAAUGAUCAGCCCAAGAGGAAAGCAAAGCAAAGCAAAGUGCAGCAAACAAAACAAAAGAAAACAUGACAGCUGGGGAGUCCUUCAAUGAAA